rnacentral:lncRNA from 1 species
UCCAGUAAACUUGUUAGAGGAAAGUCGCCUAUAUGUAAUGCAAAACAAAACAGUAAAUUAUGGUUUGAAGCAAUGGAAAUCAAAUUGGAUUUUCAGCAUUGGGACUUCAUAUUUCAGUGAGAACAUCAGUUAAGGAGAAAAAUUAAAGUGCUUACGGUUCUUGAAUUUUGGGUAGAUACCCAAGCUCCGGAGGAAGAUUUCCAGACAAUUGAUUGUUCCAUAACUCGCUAUCCAUUUCAAGUUAAAGUUAAGUCCUACUAAAACUAUUUGAAUUAAACACAUACAUGUUUAUGUGCUUAUAAAUGGAAAAAAAUUCUGAUAAAGUGGGAAAUGAGAACCUCACAAGAUUUGGAGAUUAGAUAAGUUUGCAAUCUCUACUAGUAUUGGACCCGUUAAACGAUUUUCGAGGAGAGCACUAUAAUGAUUAAGAAACAUGUUGUCAUUAUAUUAUUGUUGCAUGUAAUUACUACAAUAAAAUGAAUGCUAAGUCCUAUAAAGAAUGUAAAAUAAGACCCAUAUGUCAAGAUCUUAUAAUGUAUUAAACAAUCAAUGAUGAAAACCAGAAAAGAAAAACAAGAGACAAAUGCACCUGGACACCAGCCCCUCGCUACAACAAACCACGCCUAAAUAUCGGAUACCGUUGCUAAUGCAUUAAGCAAAAAUCCAAUUCUAACUGCACACUCCAAUUCUAACUGCUGAAACAACAGAAAAAAGCACCCCAAAAAUCCAGACCUGCUGCAUACAACAGAAUAACAUGAUGAAAGGAAUUAUGACGCAAAGCCAAAACCACCACUGCACAAAACUGGCUCCAACAACCAAUAAUGAUAAUAGACCUGCUGGUAAAAAGACAACACACCAGAAGCAUAGAAGCUGCCCUCAACCAAUUCCCAACGCAUGAAGUAACAUUAAUAUAUGAGAUCCCAAACAAGCGAGAGGAUUCACAAAAGACUGACUAAUGGAAUACCCAAAAACACAUUGAUUUGUUUCAGGACAACUCCAACACAGAGUUUUAGACCCGAAAAAUGCAGAGAUAUCUUGCUUUCCAUAAUGACCAAAUGCAUACAAACCAAAGUGUACAGAAUUUCAACUAGGUGACCCUCCCACCCCAUGAAUUAAACCGGAAAAAGAAUCAAGAAGCUGAAUUUCAACUUGAUGAUAGUUGUUAAGCAAACUAGCAAUGUCAAAUUAAACCCUUCAUAAACAAACUAGCACAUGAUUAUGCAUAAACAAACUAUAGCAAUAACAGAUUUCAUAAGAGAAAUAACAUGUCAGAUCAAAAACUUCAGAUAACUAAUUGAAAUUUCAAAACUAAUUGCAUGACCAUAACUAACAAAAACCCCAAAUCAUCAAUUAUAAAAAUUCAAAACCCUAAAUGGACUAAAAACUCCAAAUCAUCAUAAACAAAGACCCUUGUUCAAAAAAUCAUAAUCAAAGACAAAAAAUUGAUAGCAUUUCAAAACCCUAAAUCAUCAUAAUCAAACACAACUGGGAACAAAAACCCUAGAAAAGAAACUGAGUGAAUUAUCAACAAAACUCAAGACCUUAAGCAAAUAAAAAUGGGGACAAAAACCCUAGAAAGAUAAACAAAGUUAAGUAUCAAGAAAAUCUAAUAGAAACUUAGUCCUAAAUCAUCAUAAUCAAGAUUUCAACAAAAAUUCAACAGAAAAUUCAAUUGCAGAGAAGAAGAGAAAAUCAAUUAGAAUUGCGAGAGAGAGAGAGAGAGAAACCUGCAAAGAAGACUUCUGCUGGGAUCACGAGGUUGAACAGCGAUGGUGAGAGAGAGAUGAGAGUGUUUGGUUCUUUUCAUAUAUAUUCCGACCCAGAAAAACACUCGGCAAUUAACUUUGGUUAUAAAGCAUGCAGCGGCAGUUGAAAACCGUCGGCGUUCUGCACACAAGCGGCAGUGGUUGAAAAACCGUUGGGAUUUUUGGAAAGCGGCGGCGGUUCAGCAAAAACCGUCAAUCUGUUUGUCGCUAUUUUCUUUUCUUUUUUUGUGGUGGGUAGGCGGCGGCAGUUAGGUUGCAAAGUGCUGCUAUUUGACUGCCACUAAAUUCCUUUUUUCUUGUAGUGU